CCUUCAUUCCUUUCUAGUGACCAAAAUGUAUUGGAUACUCAGCUAUGGGAGAUCCCACUGAGCGAGAGUGGCUAAAGGUAGACCUUGACCUGGGAAUAGCUGCCUUUUGAAGCAGGAACAGCUCCAGAGGCAGCUGCAUCAAGCAGUCCUGCCUGGUGAACAUCAGAGUAAUGAACGUCACUGCUGUGCUGCCUGACACCCUCAUGUUCUCCAAGCUAUAUGCCUGGACUCCUUGGCUUUGACUGCUUUUUAGCCACUCACUGGCUAUGGACAUAUCCUUCCUCCUUAUGCUUAACCUCUCUGUGCCUCAGUUUCCUCAUCUACAACGGUGAUAACAACAGUACCAAUUUUAUAGCAUCGUUGUGAGAAAUGAAGGAAUUGAGGCCUUAGGGAGUCGUGUGUACAGCCUCAUCACACAAGGAGGGUCAUAGCAGAACUGACCUGAGACCACCAGGGGUCUCUACACCUGAGCCCCCAUCCUUUCCACUAGACCAUCCUUUCUACUAGACUCCAUCUGUUUUCCACAGGGGACGACUUUGCCCACCAGGCCAUGUGGCAACAUCUGAAAAUAUUUUUGGUUGUCACAACUGAAUAGGCGGUGCUGCUGGCAUCUGGUGAGAGAGGCCAGGGCUGCAGCUGCACACCCUCCAACGCACAGGACAGUACCCCAUGACAAGGAAUUCACCUGCCUAAAUGUCAGUAGUGCUGAGAUUGAGAAACCCUACUUUAGAUGGAUCUUCUUGCCACCCAGAAAGGACUCAAGGACAACUUUUAAGAAGAGAGUGCUGAGUUGGAGCCCUGCCAUGCUUCAGCAACCACCUUCCCCUGUUGAGAACCACUGUCCUGGAGCAAUUUCCCCCAAACUUCUGUGAGGACAGGAAUCAUCAAGUCACCCAUUAGAGCUGUAGUUUUCUUCAUCCCUUCUGCUGGAGAUCCUGAUCCAGUCUUUUAAAAAAAAUUUCUAAAAAUAUUUUUAAGAAAAAAAAUUUGCAGUUUGAGUGUCUCAGGUGGUUUUUAUUACCAAGAAAGUCUGGAAACUACCUUAAACAGUUUCAACAUGCACGUACCACUUGGAUGGGGCUGGUCUUCAGUUGACAUUGCUCAUGGUUUAAGAGGGUUACCUCCUUUCUUUCCCUCACAAUGAUGUAAAGCUUGAUGGCUGACAUGACAAAACAUGUUAAAUUAAUUAGCACGUGGAUGACUCAGAGGUCCCACCCUCCUUGGAGGUAUGUUUUUGAACAGAGGAGCUUCCUUCCAGCCUGCUGAUGAUGGACAGUAAGAGGAGAUGAAGGAGCACUGACCAGUGCUCAGAAGACCUGGACUGGGGUCUUAGCUAAUGAUGUUUCCCUGGACAAGCAUCUUCAGUGUCCUGAGCCUCAGUUUUCUCAUCUGCAAAUCAGGCCUACCAGGGGAUGUCCUAUCUUUCAGGGCAGCCAUGAGGAGUAAGGAGAUGAUGCCACACCUUCUGGCUGUGCAUCAGAAUCAUCUGUGGGCCUUUUUAAAACUACAAACACCCAGGUCACAUCCAAGACUACUCAUUCAUUCUUAGCGAUAAGGUCCAUAUUUAAAAAGUAGUGCUCCUUUAUGAAGUGUCACAGGUAAGUCUUUAGAAAACUAGAAAGCUCCUCAGAAAGUACCUUGUAAACUAAAAAGUGCUGUUCAGAUAAAAGGGAUUCUUUCAUUCUCACAGAUUGCUGAUCCCAGCCAUAAAUGGUACUAUAACAGUUUCCUAUUUGGCCUUGUCAGAUCAUCAUACACAUUUGACUACCUAAGCAGAUGGUGCCAUGUCUUGUGGAUAUUUUGAAAAAAUAGGACAGGCUCCCAUCUGCCCGCAAUGACUCAGGGGCUGCCUGUCUUUCCCAGAGGCAGAGGCAGUGGCUGAAUGUCCUCUGAGGAUGCCUCUGGCACCAGGGGGCCUUGACAGUGUCUCCUCCCAAGGCAGGGGCCAUCAUGGAUAGUGCUCACGCCAGCAAAUUGUAAGGACGCAGCUGCACAUCAUCCACCAGUGCAAGUUGUGGAAACCGGGGCCAGGCUCUGUGCUGCCUAUUUCCUUCUGCCAGAGGGGGUGAUCCCCCAGAUGAAGGAUGGAGCAGGGGGUUCUUCCUGCCUUCCUAAUGUCUCCACCCCGGGCCAUGGAUGGGGACAACAGAAAGGAAGGGACCUUGCUAAAUAUAAAGCUCUGUGCAGGUGGAAGAAUCAUCAUGAUUGCUUGUAUAUUGUCCUUACUAUGACUAUGGAUUUCUCUCUUUCUCCCACUGCAGCAAGACUCAGGGCAAGUUUGGCACCACCUGGUUGAUCCCUGAAGGGUGGCUGUGCCCUUGUCCCAUCACUUCUCUGAUCCUCAGCCUGGGAGCAGGAGGAGGGCUGCAGGCUGGUGUGAUGCUGACCAGCAAGGUUCUUCCUUGCAGAAGGGGUAAGUGGUGGCCACUCCAGAUUGUGCAGGCUGGAGCCUACGCAGUACUCCUCUUCUCCCAGGGACAGAAUGGAGCUACCUGGAGGUGACUGUAGGAGAUGGUGAACACAGCAUCUCCCUGGGGGGCCUGUAGUUGCGAAGUGCUCCUCCUGGGCUCCACUCCAGCUUUGGAACCAAAUGCCUCAGAUCUUGCUGUCUGCCUAAAAUGCUGGAAGCUCAUGGACCCAUCAGCUUCUAACUACCCCUUUGGUUGUCCCUCUGCAGGCUUCUCCAGACCAGGUCUGCUGCCCCCUCCUCAUCUCAGGAUGUCCAACUUUCCUGAUUUUGCUAAGGUGUGCAAUAUUCUCCAUUUACUUGGGCCUUUCCUUCCUAUCUUCCUACACCUUAGCAUCUUCUGUUUCUGGACAGAAAACCACCAACUGCUGUCUGCUUGCCUGCUCCAUGGAAAUGGUUCUAUCCCAGCCAGUUCUGCUGGGAACUGGGCUGGGAACUCUUUGCCAGGGAGGGCUGUGUGUCUGGUCUUUGAGAAUACACUAGGUCAGAGGGCUCUCCUUUCAGCUCCCUUGGAGGCCAGGAUGUUCUUCUUGUACCUGGAUGACUGGUCACUGUGCUCCACUUAGACCACUGCGUUGAAGAAUUGAGGGAAAAGGAGAGGCUGAGACCUUGGGUUAGAAGGUGAUGGGAUACAUUUUUAUUAAACUUUGUGGAAUGGAAUUAAAUCAUCCUGAGGGAAAAUCUAAGAAUAAGAAAGAAUAUUAUUAUAAAAGGAGGAAUAAAGUUCAUUUGCAGCUACUGUACUUAAACUUCUAGACCAGGAUAAUGCAGUCCUUUCGAAUUCAGAAUAGAGAGGAAAUGAUCAUGUUAGUUGAAGAUGCUGGCUAGUCCUAAACAAGAUUUAAUCCUCUCUUUCUUUCACACACACCCAUAUACUCCAGCACAUGCCUAUGUGCUCACACACACAUGCACACAUUCAAACACAUGCAUACCUGGUCUGGGGCACCCUACCUGCACAUCUAUGCACCAAUUUAUCACCUGCGACCUUCAUUAGUCCUCAUUUGCAUGCCCAUGGAGCACAAUUCCCUUAUUAUUUUCUUUGUUGCAAAUGCAGAGCGUAGGAGGGGCCUGGGUUGGCUAUAUUUUCUCAUUCCCAAAUCCUGUGAUGUAGGUUUCAGUCACUGCCCACAGUGAGGACCUCUCCUGCAUAUGAACCUCUCAAGGGCAGGGACUGUGCUUUAUUCAUCAUUGGGUCUCUAGUGCCUUGUAUGGUGCCUGGCACACAGUAGGUGCUCAAUAAUUGUUUAUGACACUGAAAUUUGGAGUCUGACUCAAGGUAAUAAAAUUUGGUGGAGACUGCUGCCUGUCCAUCAAAACUCAUGUCCUCUUCUUCCAGGGCAUACAACUAGAAUAAUUUCCCUCCUCUGAUGUUAGAUCAGGCCAUGGGUCUGAGAUCUAAUCAUAGAACAUGAACAGAAAUGAUAAAUGCCCCCUCCACACCUGGCCUGUCAAAACCUCUCCCUGUCUUCUCUAUGUCCUUUUUCCCUCUGGCUGGUUGAAAUGCCCAUUCCCAGGGAAGCCUUAGAAUUCACACACUGAAGAUGGCAGAGCAGCUGGUGGCUUGAGCUCUGAAUAACUACAUGGAGCAGAGCUGUGCUUUCAACCUGGAAACCCAUCUAGACUAUCACAUAAAAGGGAAAUAGACUUCUUAUUCUUCAGGCCACUGAAUGCCUUGUGUCUGUUCUUACAGCUCUGCCUCCCCCAAGUGAUACUCCCCAUGUGGCCAUGGGCCUGGUUGGUCACCCUGGACUCACAGUGGAAGGCUGUGAGUUCAUGGAGCUGUGGUGCGGGAUUGGGCAGAGAGCCCAUAUGCUCUUGGAUGCAUGUUUCACUCCUUUAGACCUCUGCCUACAAGACCCUUGCAGCAGGGGCUGGGUUCUGUUUCUCAAAGGCAUAAGAGAAAUAAGGUUAGGGAAUUCCUUCCCAGAAACCAGAUCCCCAGGCUGUUAGUCUGACUCUGAUGCUGUCUGCUGUGGGGCCCACUGUGGGUCCCUAUUCUACCCUACUUGUUUUCCCAUUUGAAAAGCUAAAAUAAUCAGGGUGCUGUGUAUCCCUGUGGGAUAAGAAGGGAGGACUUAUUAAGGACAGUGUCUUAAGGACUUAAAUUUUAUUUAGAGGAGAGAGAGUGAAACAAUGUGGUACAAAGAGAAAGAGCCCUGGGGAGAAGCCAGGGGACAUGGCAGGAACACUGAUCAGAUUGAAGGGGACUGUCAGUCAGGGAUGUCAGCAGGUGCUGCUCCCUCCCCCAAGUCACAUGGUUAUCUCAGCUACAGUGUUUGGCCCCAUCCCAGGGCUCAGGGUUACCUCUUGUCCUGUUGCCUGUGGCCCACAAGGUGCAUGGCCAGUGGCUAGGAUGGACAGCUCAAGUGACCCUGGAUACUCAGAGCAUCUUUCUGAGGAGCCUGGGCUGAGGCUUUUCUCAGCUGUUGCCUGACCCUCAUCACAUCCCUUUCCAAAGGGCCAAUGACUAACUCCCUAUGGGGCACCCAAGGACCACCCAACUGGAGCUACCACCUUGUUUAUAGGGAGUGCUAUAAAUGAAUGCAUUUUAGGCAGAUAAAUGAACGCAUAUUUAGAGUUCAUUUAAAGAGGAAAAUAACUUUUUUCACAUUAUUAAAAAAAUGCAUGGCUAUAGUAGAAAAUGGGAAAAUUCAAAUACUUAUAAGGAAAAAAAAAA